rnacentral:rRNA from 1 species
UAGGGAAUCUUCGGCAAUGGACGAAAGUCUGACCGAGCAACGCCGCGUGAGUGAAGAAGGUUUUCGGAUCGUAAAACUCUGUUGUUAGAGAAGAACAAGGACGUUAGUAACUGAACGUCCCCUGACGGUAUCUAACCAGAAAGCCACGGCUAACUACGUGCCAGCAGCCGCGGUAAUACGUAGGUGGCAAGCGUUGUCCGGAUUUAUUGGGCGUAAAGCGAGCGCAGGCGGUUUCUUAAGUCUGAUGUGAAAGCCCCCGGCUCAACCGGGGAGGGUCAUUGGAAACUGGGAGACUUGAGUGCAGAAGAGGAGAGUGGAAUUCCAUGUGUAGCGGUGAAAUGCGUAGAUAUAUGGAGGAACACCAGUGGCGAAGGCGGCUCACUGGUCUGAAACUGACGCUGAGGCUCGAAAGCGUGGGGAGCAAACAGG